rnacentral:rRNA from 2 species
UAAACGACUCUCGGCAACGGAUAUCUCGGCUCUCGCAUCGAUGAAGAACGUAGCGAAAUGCGAUACUUGGUGUGAAUUGCAGAAUCCCGCGAACCAUCGAGUCUUUGAACGCAAGUUGCGCCCGAUGCCAUUAGGUUGAGGGCACGCCUGCCUGGGCGUCUCAC